UGAGACUUGAAGCAAUGGGAAUCCACAGAGCAGCAGAUCAGCUGAAGCUUUUGUUUUCAGUGCUGAUGGUGAUGAUGUCUUUCCUGGGCAUACAGUUUUGGAUGAAGAAUGACAGGCAGUCCAACAUAUUGGUCCAGGCUCCU